rnacentral:piRNA from 1 species
AACAUAAUUCUUAACUCUCUCUUCAG